GCGGGGAUUCCGGAGCGGCCAAACGGGAUAGCGUUUGGAGCCAUCUAUUGGCUUAGUGCCUUCGCAGGUUCGAAUCCUGCUCCCCGCA
rnacentral:tRNA from 1 species